GCACUGCUGAGGGGUCCCGCAACAGGACGAAGCGGCCGCCCAGUGC
rfam:Schistosoma mattheei strain Denwood, Zambia genome assembly, scaffold: SMTD_scaffold0016144